AAAAAAAAUAACAGUGGUCAAAGUUACUUUUUUAAGUAAAACUCCAGAUUUCCUAUUAAAAAAAAAAUAAAAAAAAAACAAAAUCCAGAAAUCUCAUAUUUUCGAACAAUGAGAGAGAAACACCAUCGGCGCCGCACAGCACUCCGGGCCUCCGAGUUCGUUCUCCGGCCAUUACGCCCAACGGCGAGUGAAACCCUGAACUUCUGAAGCCUUAUGAGCAAGCGGUUUUGUGAAAUCUGUCAAGAAACAAAAAAAAUGCGGGAGUGACUCCAUCAGAAUUUGGAUUAUGGUCGGCAAGGUAGAGCUACAAGAUGAUUCGGAAACUCAAUGAUAUGGCUGGAUUCUAGAUUUCUAGAGAGGGAGGGAAAACUACUGCAGCAUGAUAAAUGGAUGGAAUGAUUGCCGUCAAAUGACCAUGGGCCCCUUAAAAUGUAUAGGCCCAUUUUCAGCGUGUCGCACGGACUUCUUUUCACUAGUGUUGGAUUUCUGAUUUCAUUUUUUCAGACUAAUUAAUAAAAGUCUACCCUUUCCCAGACUAA